UACGUAGGGAGCAAGCGUUGUCCGGAAUCAUUGGGCGUAAAGCGCGCGUAGGUGGCUUCAUAAGUCCGUUGUGAAAGUCAAAGGCUCAACCUUUGAAAGCCGAUGGAUACUGUGAAGCUAGAGUACGGAAGAGGCGAGUGGAAUUCCUGGUGUAGCGGUGGAAUGCGCAGAUAUCAGGAGGAACACCGGUGGCGAAGGCGGCGACCUGGGUCGAUACUGACGCUGAGGUGCGAAAGCGUGGGGAGCAAACAGG
rnacentral:rRNA from 1 species